rnacentral:lncRNA from 1 species
AGGCAGUAGGCAGCCAGGCUUGAGAACUUGCCCCAGGAUACCCACCUGCCAGCUGCGAAAGAAAAGGGCUUGGUUCUUCCCCUACCUGUGGAGUCUGCACACCAGAUUUGUGCUCUCCCCAGAGUUCUGGCCAGGAGGCUUCUCACCUGGCUCAAAUUGUUACAAAGUUCACCUGGAGAUUUCCUUCUCCCUGUGGUGUUUCCCCCGCUCCUCUGACCACCCUCCUGAUGGAUCCCUGUGGUGCCAGCACUUUGUUACUGGCUUUCGUGUCCUGAAGUGAAACUGACCAGAAACAUUAAACUCUCUGUAUGAAUCAUAUGGAGUGAAAAUUGCUACUCAGUGAAGCAAACAGAUAGUCCAAAGUGUUACAAAGUGAGAAGAUGCUUAUCAAGAAAAAUGAAAGGGUUGAUGAUAUGCCAGAAGUAUUUCAUAGACCCAUUUUCAACUUCCUAUUGAAAAUUGUUACUGAAAAAGAAGACAAGAGAAGACUACACGUUAUGAACUAAGAGUUGGCACAGGGAAAGAGGAAAAAUAAAAGCAUGACUGGGAACAAGAAGACCUGCAGGGUCAACUGACAUGAGGAACUACUUCCCCCUUGAAAAUGCAAGAAGAACCAGUCUCGGCAUAAGGUAGACACCUAAUAUAGCAGAGGAGAAGGUCAGAAAUAACAGAAGGUUUGCAUGAAAUUAUUGAAUCAAAGCUCACCAAACAUCUUGGUCAUUAGUUUUAUGAGACAGUAAACCACGAUACUAUCAUCAGUGUUUUUUGUUUCUGAUAUGGUUUGGCUGUGUGUCCCCACUCAAUGCCAGCCCGUGAAAGCAGCUGGGAGGGAGGCUAUACCCUGCAAAGCCACAGGGGCGGAGCUGCCCAAGACCAUGGGAAACCACCUCUUGCAUCAGCAUGACCUGGAUAUGAGACAUGGAGUCAAAGGAGAUCAUUUUGGAGCUUAAGAUUUGACUGCCCUGCUGGAUUUCAGACAUGCAUGGGGCCUGUAGCCCCUUUGUUUCAGCCAAUUCCUCCCAUUUGGAAUGGCUGUAUUCACCCAAUGCCUGUAUUCACUCAAUGCCUGUAUCCCCAUUGUAUCUAGGAAGUAACUAACUCGCUUUUGAUUUUACAGCUCAUAGGCAGAAGGUAUUUGCCUUGUCUCAGAUGAGACUUUGGACUGCGGACUUUUGAGUUAAUGCUGAAAUGAGUUAAGACUUUAGGGGACUGUUGGGAAGGCAUGACUGUUUUCGAAAUGUGAGGACAUGAGAUUUGGGAGGGGUCAGGGUGGAAUGCUAUGGUUUGGCUCUGUGUCCCCACCCAGAUCUCGAAUUGUACUCCCAUAAUUCCCACGUGUUGUGGGAGGGACCCAGUGGGAGAUAAUUGAAUCAUGGUGGUGGUUUCCCCUAUACUGUUCUCAUGGUAGAUGAAUCAGUCUCUUGAGAUCUGAUGGUUAGAUAAGGGAAAAUCCAUUUUGCUUGGCUCUCAUUCUCUUUCUUUGCCUGCUGCCAUCCAUGUAAGAUGUGACUUGCUCCUCCUUGCCUUCCACCAUGAUUGUGAUGUCUCCCCAGCCAUGUGGAACUGUAAACCGUCAGUGUGUUUCCAUAGACCAGGUUUUGACUCCCAGUAUCAGGAAUUCUACCUCAUAUAAUUGUGCAGUUGAGCUGUUGCACUCCACGUAAGACUUCAGCCAAGAAGACAACAGGGUAGCUGGAAGGCCAGACUUCUCUCAGCCAUCCUGGAGUCAACUUAAGAUGCAGACACCUUUUUCUAAUUGGCAUUGUCAGUGGGGGGCACUUUUUUCAAAUCUGUCCCCUUGGGGAAAGCUAUUUCUCUCAUAUGCAUCAAAGCACUGUAUAUGCCUGUUGGCCCUACCUAUAUGUAUCUCAGGAUUAAAUAAAUAAAUAAAUAAAUAAAAGCUAUUGCCUUGUUUUUCCAGGAAUAGUUCUGUAGUUUUUGCAGAACAAGAAGUCUGCAUUCAAAGUAACAUGCAGUUUCACUGUUAUUGCCCUGUCCAAGCUUGUGGUGUAAUUUCUUCUUCAUUCACUCAGUCUCACAAAAGGGAUAAUGAAAUCAACUUUCAUCCAACUUCAGGCAAUCAUAAAACUCUGAGAUUUACAGCUACCACUGCAAAGUCAGUGAGUAUUGUAAGAGCCUUGAAUUAGAACAAGUAGUAAAGAAUCCAUGUAAGAAUAGGAAGCUCUGAGGUUGUAUAUACUAAGACCUUAGUGUUACCUAGACUCACCUCACAGCUUGUGGAAAAAGCUGAUUCCUGGUCCUACCAUAGAUACUCUGACUUGGAUCUGAGGAGGGCCAGCUUCAUCUUGAGAAUUCUAUGUAGGGUAGGGCUUAGGGGAGGCCAUCUGGUUGGAAGACGAAGCUGGGAGGUUUGCCAUGAGGCUAUGUUUGUAAAGAAAGCACACUCUUUUUAACUUAGUGUGUAUGUUACAGAUCAAUAUCAAUAUAAAAGUUUCCUAAACUUUUACUCACACUUUAUAUAAAAGUGAUUACAUUGGCCAUAUUAAAAGUAAGAUUUUUAUUUGGGAAUGAAGGGAGCUGAUGGAGACUGGGUUGGCUACUGCCCUUGGCACCACCACUGAGUUUAACCCAGAUGUCUGCCUUUUUAACCAUCACCAUAGAAAAGCCUAGUUUAUUUAUUCAUCCACUCAACAAAAUGUUUAUUGAGAUACCAGUAUGUGCUGGACAUUGUUAGAGAUAUGUUCUUGGGAC